CGCCGGCGACUCUUGAAUGGGAGCGACGGGUCCGCGGCUCCCUAACGGUGCGGCGGGUGUCACGUUUCCGUCGACGGAAAUAAGCGUACGUCGCACGCGGCAGUGUCACGACCCGACCAUCGUGCGUGCGUGCGUGCGUGCAUGCGUGCGUGCAUAUACAUACAUACGUGCGCAUUAUCGCGACGCGCAAUUUCGUCCGCAUUACGCGUCACCGCCGCACUCGCUCCCGACUGCGGCGGGAUGCUGCGCGCCGUUUCAACGGGAUAGACCCUCUGUAUGUAUCCGGAGUAAGUACCUGUCACGAUGGGCGUCACGACGACUGGCGCGUACAAUGACAAUCUCGUGCGACAACACAGCGACGUCCCUUAAUCCACGCUGACGGAAAUGCACACAUUCGGGGCGGCGUCGUAAUCCAAAAGCGUAAACCGCGUCCCGACAGCCCCGUCCGACGAGUGUUCCCGUCCUCGAGUGUCGCCGAGGCAAAUUCCCGUCUUCGACUCGUUAGAAAUCAUCCGUUCCCAGCGGGGGAGGGCCGUACGAUGCAACGCGCGGUAGCCCUGACGUGAUCGUGCCGACCAAAUGGGAUAAUCGUCGACGCAGAGAAAACAGAGUGAUGGCACGUCGAGGUACGAUUCGUCUCGGCGUGCAUGUGCGCGUGUGACUUACAAAGUGUCCAAGUGCGAGGGGGGAAAUCAGGGCGGAUCGCCGUGACCUGGCCUGGCCUGGCAAACGAACUUCACCCUGCGGCUUGUAUGCGAAGAAAGCUUGUUGCGGCCUGUCAGGCGAAAAAAGGAAUUACGGAUGUGACGAUACGAUGACGCGAGAUCCGCAACGACGGGUAGAUCACCCGUACGCGGUAGAUCGGCGGCGGAUACCGAGGAUGGUCUUUCAGAUUCUGUUAAUUCAGAAUUUUAUUACAUUUAAAGCUGUUGCUCAGAUAGCCGAAUGUCCGCCACCGGAAAUAAUAACGGGCUGUCCGUGCUAUAACUUUGAAGACGGUCUCUUUCUGGAAUGCGCUGGCGCUACGGAAGAGACUCUAAGAACCACGCUGCAAGGCGUGCUAAGUACGAGCGGCGCGGGCACGAUGGUACAGUCGUUGAGUGUUUACGAGCUCGACAAAGGCAUCGAAGAACUGAAAGAGGGUGCUUUUCCUCCCGGCUCGCAAAUCCGACAUCUUCAAAUAUCGCAUUCAUCUUUGCGGGAAGUAAGCGAGGGCGCCUUCACGAAUUUGAAAGAUAGCCUGGAAUCCUUGGCACUGGUUUCCGGCCGUUUGCCCCAUGUGCCUCAGAAAUCACUGGCCGUUCUACGAAAGCUCGCUGCCUUGGACCUUGAAACGAACUUGAUACAGGACCUCUCAUCCUAUUGCUUUUACGGUUUGAAGCUAAUGAAGCUGACCCUGAAAGGGAAUCAAAUAUCGAAAAUUUCGGAAUACGCGUUCGCGGGCCUCGAGGACAGCCUGAGCGAUCUGGAUCUGGCGGAAAACAAGUUGAAGCUGUUUCCCAUGGCUCCCUUGAGGAGACUCGAGAGCUUAGCUUCGCUCAGGCUGGCGUGGAACGAGAUAUCGGAGCUGCCCGACGACGGUUACAGCCUCCUCAGCUCCUUGCUGAUCCUCGAUCUGAGCAGUAACAAUUUCGAGAAACUGGCCGAGGACUGCUUCAGACCCUGUCCCAUCCUUCACACUCUGUCCCUCUACUACAACUCCAUCGAGAGCAUUCACAAGGACGCCUUCUCGUCGUUGAAGGAUCUAGAGUCGAUCGAUUUGAGCCACAACAAAAUAGUCUUCCUCGACGUGGCGACUUUCAAGGGGAACGAACGGCUGCGCACGAUCGAGCUCAGUCAUAACCAUAUUCACUACAUCGGCGGCGUAUUCGCGCGGCUGCCCGAACUGCGGGAACUUUAUCUGGCGGAAAACAAUAUCCUGGAGAUCCCGGGAGAUGCGUUCGCCGGCAGCGUCAGCCUCGCGGUGGUGUAUCUCCAGCAGAAUGCCAUCCGUAGAAUCGACGUCAAGGGUCUCACGAGUCUCACGCAGCUGACGCAAUUGCAUCUGAGUAACAACUACAUCGAGAAGGUGCCGCGGGAAUUCCUGGAGCACUGCGAGAACCUUUCGUCGCUCUCCCUGGACGGUAACAAGAUCCGCGAGUUACAGCCGGGCACAUUCCUUAAACUGCAUCAAUUGCGCGAGCUGCGGCUGCAGGAUAACCGUAUAACGGAGGUGAAGCGUGGCGUUUUCACGCCGCUGCCGGCGCUCCUCGAGCUGCAUCUGCAAAACAACGCCAUUACCUCGAUGGAGACGGGCGCGCUGAGAACGCUGAAUAGUCUCCAGCACGUUAAUCUGCAAGGCAAUCAGUUGACCAUGCUCGGCGACGUCUUUCAGCUGUCCGCCUCAGAAUCGUCUUCCGGCGGAAGCUCUUUGGUGUCUAUUCAGCUGGACAGCAACGGCUUGGCCGUUCUACACAAUGACUCUCUGCGCGGCCAAGCGUCCGUCAGAAUUAUGUGGCUGGGUCACAACAAGCUGACACACCUGCAAGCUCCUCUCUUCAGGGAUCUCCUUUUGGUCGAGCGCCUUUAUCUGACCAACAAUUCCAUAUCCAGGAUCGAGGACGCCGCUUUUCAGCCGAUGCAGGCGCUAAAGUUUCUCGAGCUCAGCAUGAAUAAACUGAGUCACGUGACGGCGAAGACGUUCUCGGAGCUGCACGAGCUCGAGGAACUGUACCUGCAGGACAACGGCUUGAGGAGGCUCGAUCCUUACGCAUUGACGGCGCUUAAGAAACUGAAGGUGCUGGAUCUGGCGAAUAAUUAUCUAACCGUCUUGCAAGACGCGGUUUUUCAAGAAGAUCUGCCGAUUAAAACGCUCAACUUAAAGAACUGCUCGAUAUCCACGAUAGAAAACGGUGCCUUUCGCGGGCUCAACAACCUCUUCGAUCUCAACUUGGAUGACAAUCUCCUCACGGCGACGGCGCUGCUACGUCUGCACGUACCCGGUCUUCGGAUACUCGCGGCGUCCGGCAACAACUUCAGCCAGAUCACGGAGCACUGUUUUAACGGGCUGCCGUCUCUGCAGGACCUGUUCCUGGACGGCUCGGAAAUAAGUCAAUUGCCGGAGAACAUCUUCGUGCUGAAUCGGAAUCUGGCGCGUCUACACUUGAACCAUAAUCAUCUGCGUACUCUCCCGCCGGGUAUCUUCGACAGGUUACUGUCACUGCGGGAGAUACACUUGGAUCACAAUCGAUUCCAGGAUAUCCCGUACUCGGCGCUCGCGAGCGCCCUUAAUCUCGAGAUCCUCACGCUAUCGACCAACGAGAUUCUGAACGUCGACGUGGCCAGUUUCGCCAGCUUGAGGCAUCUGCGAGAGUUGGAUCUGAGCCACAAUAAGAUCGAAACGAUGUCCGGAUUCGCGAUGGCUAAUCUCUCGCGCUUGAUAUCCGUGGAUCUCAGCCAUAACAACUUGAACGCUCUACCGGCCAACUUUUUCGCGCACUCGUCCUUGUUACGAAGAGUCGACUUGUCGGAAAAUAAAUUCCGACAGAUACCCGCGGUCGCUCUCUCGGGUCAGAAUCUUCCCGGUCUGGCCUGGCUGAAUCUCACGCGAAAUCCAUUAAACAGAAUCCACGAUCUGCCAUCGGAGGCGAUGUAUCCUAUUCUCCAGGAGGUACAUAUAUCCGGCACCAAUCUGAGUAUAGUAACCUCGCAAGAUUUCGAGGCCUUCCCGGCGCUGUUGCAUCUCUAUCUGGGUCAGAAUUGCAUCCUGCGAGUGUCGCCGGGCGCGUUUCGCAGCCUCCCGAAUUUGCUCACUCUUCACCUCGGCAUGAACAGCCUGGAGAUCUUGCCGAAGGAGAGACUCCAGGGUAUGGAGCAUUUACGGAUACUCAAUUUAACGCACAACCGUCUGAAAGAGCUGGAAGAGUUCCCGGAGGAUCUCAAGUCUCUUCAAAUACUGGACCUGUCUUACAAUCAGAUCGGCAUUGUUGGCAAAGUGACGUUCAAGAAUUUAAUUAGCCUGGUGGAGCUGCAUCUUUAUGGUAACUGGAUAAACGCCAUCUCCAGCGAGGCAUUUAGACCCUUGAAGAAGUUACGUCUACUUGACUUGAGUAGAAAUUACUUGGAGAAUCUGCCGCUGAAUGCUUUCCGGCCACUCGAAACGCAAAUAAGAAGCCUGCGGGCUGAAGAAAACCCGUUGCACUGUGGCUGCGAAUCGCAAGAGUUGUGGGAAUGGUUGAGAGACCACCAGAAAUUGGUGAGCGGAGUUGGUGGUGGUCGUAGCCGCGGAAGAAAUGGUGUCGGAGUCGGUGACGUCGAGGGCGGUUUGUUAAGAUGCGAGCAGCCACCCGAGCUCCGAGGUCUCGUCUUCCUCGAUCUUGACCCCCACGCCUUCUGUUCCGCUCCGCUGGUCCUGAAACUCGCGAUUCAAGACAUUCAGCCCUUCUCCGUUCUGGUAUCGUGGCAGAGCAGGAAUCAUUCCGGCCUCCACGGAUACCAAGUGGCGUAUCACGCCUUGGACAACGUCGACGAGGUCCGAGGUAAGCUGCUAGAUCCAAAGGCACGUUCGGUGAGAUUGACGAAGUUGGCAUCUGACACGCGCUACCUGAUCUGCGUACUUGGCUUGGGCAGCUGGGGCACGCCGAUCCCGGAGGACAUCGGCUCCUGGCAAUGGAACGCCUCGCACGAUGACGUGAUCGAGGGUUCCUCGUUGCCCGUGAUGGUGAACUCGCCUACGAGCCGGUGUACCGAGGUCAGAACUUUGGACACGCCCGACUCGAUAGCGGGCGACGGCAAUGUGAGCGACAGGGGCAGUUUGGCGAACAUCCUCACGAGACGGCUGGGCCUGAUCGUGGGUAGCUGCAUGGGCUUCGUGGUCUUCGUGGUGCUGAUCUCCGUUCUGGGUUACAUGAAAAUGAAGAAGCAGCGGGCAACGAUCAAGCGAGAUCAGCCGUUGUCCUCGAACCCGCCGGAGUACAUGUCCUACAGACAUUUCUCGCUGCAGAGUGGCGACAGGGCGGAGAACUCCUGUCCGAGUUUCAUCAGUAACAUCGGGCCCCCGCCCCUCGGCUCGUAGCAGAAGGCGAAGGAGUCUCGUAAAGAGACCGCUCAGCACGACAUCGAGAUGAAAACCGUGUCGACCUGCACCAAUAUCUACAGCUAAUAAUCGCGCGGCACGAGGGGACAACGACGAGAAGGCGUCGUGUCGCUGACGCUUCCGGUGUCGUCGGAUCAAGUGACGAAAAACGGGAGGGCCGCGUGUGGUAUCGGGUCUUCGAACUUUUAACGCGCGUUUCAAAUAACCGAAACCAUUCGAUUAUGUCGGUCACAUGGAACGAUGGUGACGAUCGUGAUUUUAUUCCAGUUGUCCGGAGCCGACAUAAUUUGUUUUACUCCGCGAACGUAAUCCACAAGACAAACACUAUUCGAUUUACGUAACAAAUAAUCAAAACAGCACGGCAAUCGGUAAAGUUUUUUAAUCAACAACAACAGCAUUUUGACGUAGAAGACUUUUUGUGCUGCCUAUAUACACAUAUAUAUCGUCGAACGUGAUCGCGACGCCAAUAUUUUCGCGAUUAAGCCCAUCCUGUGUACGGAGGAAAGAAAUUCGACGUAGCAAAGUGCCAAAAAUACGUGUCUCUACGUACAACACAAGUCUUCUCUACCCCGAUCGCUGGUGUAAACGCGCCAAGAGAAGAAAAAUAAACGUCCUCGAGUGACUUAAUUUCAUAAUCAGCAGGAAAGCAAUGGCAAAUGUCAGUAUACUGAGGUAUACGUCACAGCAUUCAAGACUCCAAAAGACUGGGGGAACGUGCGAGCCCCAAGGAAAUACCUGCCUGCGAGAAAAUCAAACGUACGCGAAAAAAUUUGCAUUUUGACAGGAGAUUUUACCGGUGUGGAUUAAUCUUUACGAGUUUUUUUUUUUCUUCGUCUUUUUUACGAUGUACACCGCGGGGGAAGAAAACCGCCGGCUGUUUGUCGGCGAUUUAUUUCCGCUGCUUUACGAAACGAGCAACCGAGCAACGACGUAUCGACCCUCGCUCACUCUCGAAACUUCGAAUCUCUCGUACGAAGACUGAUUUUUUACGCCGUUAAAAAUUGCCCUCAUAAUUCCGAGACUCCUCAUGCACUUGGCGCGACACUUUUUUGUAAAUACGUGAAACAUCGCGGCAUGCACGGUGUCCAUGCAGGUGUGUAUCCAUGAAAUUCGUCUUUAUAGUGCUGCGCAAGCAAUAUUACACUUAUUCGUAUCGAUAGUUUCUAAUGAUCAGCACUAACGUAAUUAAGAGGAAACGCGAUCCACGACGAAAGACAUCGGCGUCCGUCGUCCUUAAGACAUCGCGAUAGAAAGAUUUUGCGAACGGUGAUCUAGCCUCUUCGAGUUUUUGAUAAUAUCACGUUACGAGGCGGACACAUCUCGUGACAUUCGAACGAACACAUUCGAACUCUUGAAUUGUGAAAGACUAAGUGUGAUUCCUGCCAAGAAAAAGAAGAAGAAAUAAUCGAUUCCAAGUUGCCAAAUGUUAACUGUGUAUCAAAUAUCGUGCAAAAAAAAUCGGUUUAUUGUAUAUAGAUAGAGGAUAUGUAUACACAUAGCAUUCUUUAUUAUAGCCUAGGCUUUCGGUUAAUAAAAAUACCCCACAAAGCUUUUCUUGAUUUCCACGGGACAAUCAACCCAUGCGGAAUGCAAAUUCUCAAAAGGAGCGUAACAACGGUGAUAACAAACAAUUAGAAGGCUUAAUCCGCACUACGGAUUUUAUAAUAAUUAUCUGUGACUUUAUAUGGGUCGAUUUUAUCAUAGCACGAUUAUUUAUUUGCUUUGCGCCGUAGGUUGCGCGUGAAACAUCUCGUAUAUGAUUCAACCGCCAUUCUAGCCAAAUGGAAUUUCCUAGUGUAUCUCCGGCGAUCCGUUAAGUCAUCUCACACGACUAAUUAAUUAAUUAUAAUGGCAGCUUAGACCGGACAGCUUAGAACCGCGUCUGUGGUUCGCAUUGAUUUCGUAAUUAACCCGGGUGUAUCCCUGAGCGUCAAUCAGUUCCGAUCUGAUACGUCGAAGGAGAUGCUAAAGCUGCGAGGAGAUACAUCGUGCCUUCUAAUAAUACAUGCCUCAAUGCAAGGCCGUUUUAUGGCUGCGCGUCUGCAUAGUAUCACAGACGACUUGGUAUCGCGUGGUCCCACGUGGCAGGUAAGUGAAUGUAAGAAAUUUAUCUUUGACUAUCAAUGUUGCGAUACAAAUAAUCCACAUUGUU